rnacentral:rRNA from 1 species
GACGAACGCUGGCGGCGUGCUUAACACAUGCAAGUCGAACGAAGAGCGAUGGAAGCUUGCUUCUAUCAAUCUUAGUGGCGAACGGGUGAGUAACGCGUAAUCAACCUGCCCUUCAGAGGGGGACAACAGUUGGAAACGACUGCUAAUACCGCAUACGAUCUAACCUCGGCAUCGAGGAUAGAUGAAAGGUGGCCUCUACAUGUAAGCUAUCACUGAAGAAGGGGAUUGCGUCUGAUUAGCUAGUUGGAGGGGUAACGGCCCACCAAGGCGAUGAUCAGUAGCCGGUCUGAGAGGAUGAACGGCCACAUUGGGACUGAGACACGGCCCAGACUCCUACGGGAGGCAGCAGUGGGGAAUCUUCCGCAAUGGACGAAAGUCUGACGGAGCAACGCCGCGUGAGUGAUGACGGCCUUCGGGUUGUAAAGCUCUGUUAAUCGGGACGAAAGGCCUUCUUGCGAAUAGUGAGAAGGAUUGACGGUACCGGAAUAGAAAGCCACGGCUAACUACGUG